rnacentral:lncRNA from 1 species
GUAUUUUUUGAACCUUCUUCUGAAAUGGUGCAUUACAAGAUGAAGUCGGCAAACAUCUGUGCCUUGAUGGAGGGUCAGGACUAAUAUCUUAUGUCAAAUUCUAAAAGCUCUAUGGCCCACUUUGUAAUCUGACUGAAAGCAUUAGGUCAGUGAAGUAUUAACUUCAUCGAUUGGUCGAUCAAAAGUAUUAUAACGUGAGC